rnacentral:rRNA from 1 species
GACGAACGCUGGCGGCGUGCCUAAUACAUGCAAGUCGAGCGGAUCUUCAUUAGCUUGCUUUUGAAGAUCAGCGGCGGACGGGUGAGUAACACGUGGGCAACCUGCCUGUAAGACUGGGAUAACUUCGGGAAACCGGAGCUAAUACCGGAUAAUCCUUUUCCUCUCAUGAGGAAAAGCUGAAAGACGAUUUCGGCUGUCACUUACAGAUGGGCCCGCGGCGCAUUAGCCAGUUGGUGAGGUAACGGCUCACCAAGGCGACGAUGCGUAGCCGACCUGAGAGGGUGAGCGGCCACACUGGGACUGAGACACGGCCCAGACUCCUACGGGAGGCAGCAGUAGGGAAUCUUCCGCAAUGGACGAAAGUCUGACGGGGCAACGCCGCGUGAGCGAUGAAGGCCUUCGGGUCGUAAAGCUCUGUUGUCAGGGAAGAACAAGUACCGGAGUAACUGCCGGUACCUUGACGGUACCUGACCAGAAAGCCACGGCUAACUACGUGCCAGCCGCCGCAGUAA